UACGGAGGAUGCAAGCGUUAUCCGGAAUGAUUGGGCGUAAAGCGUCCGCAGGUGGCUAUGUAAGUCUGCUGUUAAAGAGUGAGGCUCAACCUCAUAAGAGCAGUGGAAACUACAUAGCUAGAGUGCGUUCGGGGCAGAGGGAAUUCCUGGUGUAGCGGUGAAAUGCGUAGAUAUCAGGAAGAACACCGGUGGCGAAAGCGCUCUGCUAGGCCGCAACUGACACUGGGGGACGAAAGCUAGGGGAGCGAAUGGG
rnacentral:rRNA from 1 species